rnacentral:rRNA from 1 species
GACGAACGCUGGCGGCGUGCCUAAUACAUGCAAGUCGAGCGGAUCUCGAGGAGCUUGCUCCUUGAGAUUAGCGGCGGACGGGUGAGUAACACGUGGGCAACCUGCCUGUAAGACUGGGAUAACACCGGGAAACCGGUGCUAAUACCGGAUAAUUCUUUCCCUCACAUGAGGGGAAGCUGAAAGUCGGUUUCGGCUGACACUUACAGAUGGGCCAGCGGCGCACUAGCUAGUUGGUGAGGUAACGGCUCACCAAGGCAACGAUGCGUAGCCGACCUGAGAGGGUGAUCGGCCACACUGGGACUGAGACACGGCCCAGACUCCGACGGGAGGCAGCAGUAGGGAAUCUUCCGCAAUGGACGAAAGUCUGACGGAGCAGCGCCGCGUGAGAGAUGAAGGCCUUCGGGUCGUAACACUCUGUUGUUAGGGAAGAACAAGUAUCGGAGUAACUGCCGGUACCUUGCCGGUACCUAACCAGAAAGCCAUGGCUAACUACGUGCCAGCAGCCGCCGCCGUAA